rnacentral:lncRNA from 1 species
UGUGUCCAAAAGUGGUCUCAGGCUUCAUGAGGAAGCCAUACAAGCCAUGGCCCCAAAAGCUCACAGUCACUACUUUAUUCUUGAACCAUUCUUGAACUAUUCUUGUCAAGGGUAACAGGAGAGGAUAGACCUUGCUAAGUUUGGUAAAGGCUAGAGACAGUUUUGAAACAGAACAAAAAGCUUUAGCUCUGUAAGAUUUUCUGCCUUUCCUUGUAGAAAGCAGAAAGAGGUUUUAGCUUCUGGCUGGAAAGCAGCCUAUCAGCACUAUAGCUGAGGUUUUCAUUUUGUUCCUGGCUUUGGGAAGGGGAGAAGGACCAGUGAGAAGUUCCAUGUCCCCUGCCCCAGAGGGAUAUUGCUUUGACAAUCUGGAGGCUGAAUUACUAGAAAGGAAAACUACACCAACAAGCUAUGACAGAAGAUUAUAGGAAAAGUUGCAAACUGCUAAUGAGAAAGAAAAAAAAAAAGUCAAUUAUACCACAUAGAGGUGAAGAUCCACUGCAGUGUCUUUUGAAUUAUUUUGGAGAGCAGAAUUUUUGUCAUCCCGAUGGGUUUAAAACUCCUAGAAUGUAGAUUCACUACUUUACCUGCUUA